rnacentral:tRNA from 1 species
CGGGAUGUGGCGCAGCCCGGUAGCGCACACGCCUGGGGGGCGUGGGGCCGCAAGUUCGAAUCUUGUCAUCCCGACCA